rnacentral:rRNA from 1 species
AGCGGUGGCGUUGGCAUGUUGAAUGCAACAGUUCCUAAUGGAUCACUUAAGUAAGCAACGUUGGGCGUGGUUGGUAACUGGAUGGAUGACCAUCUUAGACCAUCGCGUGCUGCUUCUC